GUUAUUACCUGGCAGGGAGAAUACAUGAUCACGAAGGUGUUUUCCCAGGGCGAGGCUUAUCCAUUGCACUCGCGAUGUGGCUGACCCUGCGAUUUCCCCAAAUGUGGGAAUCGACUGCAUAAUGUGGUAGUGGGGGGACUGCGUUCGCGCUUUCCCUGA
rnacentral:snRNA from 1 species